UACGUAGGGCGCAAGCGUUGUCCGGAAUUAUUGGGCGUAAAGAGCUCGUAGGCGGUCUGUCGCGUCAGCUGUGAAAACCCGCAGCUCAACUGUGGGCUUGCAGCUGAUACGGGCAGGCUUGAGUUCGGUAGGGGAGACUGGAAUUCCUGGUGUAGCGGUGAAAUGCGCAGAUAUCAGGAGGAACACCGGUGGCGAAGGCAGGUCUCUGGGCCGAUACUGACGCUGAGGAGCGAAAGCGUGGGGAGCGAACAGG
rnacentral:rRNA from 1 species